CACGGCCUCUCGCAAACGUCAAACCUUCGUCUCUUCGUGUGUUUAUGUUUAAUCUUGGAAAAAUAGAUAUAAAACAAACAAUCUCAUUUCACCUCCCUUUGAAAUACAUGAUGGAAUCAACUAAGGAGUGGAACCCUGAUCUUUGGGCUGCUCUGGGUCUUCAUACAUUUUGUGCGGAAGAGGACGUCUCAAAUUCUCUGUGGAAUAUUAACACAACAUUGGAAACACCAGUUACAAGUGAUAAGGCCAAUUUCAUUGCCAUAGAAAACAAUAGCUGUCAGCUGAUGUUGGAAGGUGCAUUCUAUGCUGCUAAGAAAAGCACUGCUCACUUCAAGUUGGGCAGUUCCCAAAUAAUGAGCUGCUGACUUGCCACUGGUCCAUCUGCUUCAAAGGGGGCUUACGUCUUACAGGUCUUGCUCAACAAGCGAAUGGAAUCUAUCACACCAGGCAAACAAGUGAAAAACAUGAAAAGAAAGAAGACACAAACUAUUCUGUUAGUAGGCUUGAAUGUCAGAACCACGUGCCGACAGACAACUUGCAGCUGGACGAUAAUAUGCAGAAGACAACAGUGAUUCACGUGGAACUUGGGCUGAAUAUCAACACGGCUUCCCUCCAAGACACCAUAUUCACAAAGAGUGGAUCACUGAAAGAAAAACAUAUUCAUCUGGUAGGGAAGGGUUCAGAGCAGGUUUGUGCACCUGGUGUAGGUUUUGUUGUAAGGAAAUUAUUAAUUUUGGUGAUGGAACUCACUCCAGCUAGUUCAAAAUAUAUUCUCCCCAUCCACUUCUGAACUCAAGCAGGGUCUGUUAACUUCAUGGGUACCUAUGCUCCAUAACAGUGCUCCAUGAUAGAGGUGAAAGACAAGUUCUAUGAGGAGCUAGGCACUGUCAAAAGAAUCCCCAAGUCAGGAUAUCUUUAUCCACUGGGGAUUUCAGUGCAAGAGUGGAUGCAAACCAUAAGACAUGGCCCUGCUACCUCAGAAAGAUAUAUGAAAACAGGCAGAAACUAAUUAAGCUUCACCACUGUCACAAGCUUUUUAACACCUUUCAGAAGAAGCCAUACCAUAAUGUUGCCUGGAGACAUCCAGGAUACAGUGCCCUGGAGACAUUCUGGUGUGACACAGUGGAUGGAACCCUUAAAAGCAGAAAUAUCAAACAUGCUGCCUACCAAGUAAAAACCAACAGUUCCUCAACACGACACGCAUUCACCAGCAUUCCAACAAUGAAUACCAAAAUAAAAUGAAACAUACCAUCAACAAUACUGCACUCUCAAAAUAUGGAAAGCAACACUAGAAAAGUGCUAACUGAUACAAGUCUAACAUCCAACUGCCCUGUCAAUAUUCCAGCAAUAGCACUGGAGACUUAUCCUCCAGAACUAGCCACAUCUGUAGCUUAGCCGCUCAGUACAGCUAUAACACUGGCAUCUAGCUGACAAUGUGGAAAACUGCCCAAAUAUGACCUGUCCACAAAAAGCGGUACAAAUCCAAUCUGGCCAAUUACCAUGCCAUCAACCAUCUUUCAAUUAUCAACAAAAUAAUGGAAGGGUUUGCAACAGUGUUAUCAAGCAGCAUUUACACUGCAGUAACCUGCUCACUGAUUCCCAUUUUGUGGUUCACCAGGACUACUCAGCUGCUGCCUUAAUUGCAGCCUUGGUCCAAACAUGGGCAAAAGAACUGAACUAAAGAGGGGGUAACAUCAAGGUGACAUCAAAUUUAAAGUCAAUGGGAAUCAGGAGAAAUAUUCUGCACUGGUUGGGAUCAUACGUAGCACACAGGAAGAUGGUCAUGGUUGUUGGAGCCCAAUUAGGGGAUGUAAUGCCCUAGUGGUAUUAUCACUGGACUGUUAAUUCAGAGACCCAGGUAAUGUUCCAGGGAUCUGCAUUCGAAUCCCACCGUGACAGAUGAUAGAAUUUGAGUUCAAUUGAGAAAAAAGCUGAAAUUGAGAGUCCAGUGAUGACCAUGAAUCCAUUGCUGGUUGUCAGCAAAACCACAUCAGGUUCACUGGUAGCCUUUAGGGAAAGUGGAGUUAAUAUUCAGUGUAUAACUUUUUCCAUAAUAUACUGAAUAUUAAUUCACUUGCCAUGGGCAAAGUUGCAAGUACUGAUAGUGUACCAUAUGAACUCAUAAAAUAUGAGAAACUGGUACUCUUGCAGCAUCUGUGAUAACUUCUCUGUCUCUGCUGCAGAAAUGGGGCAACAGCAGAAUUGCAAAAACUUGCAUGGCAGCUUCCUGUUGAGCAUCUUCAGCAAAGUAUUUGGCUAUGUUGCCCUUGUCAGACGGUAGUUCCUGCUGAAUCCAUUUACCUCAAAUCCCAGUAUUUUUCAGAACUGGAAUUUCUACAAUUGUCAUGAACUUCUCAAUCCAGCAACUGCAAUAGCAACACAGUGAUAAAGGAGACCAUUGUGCAUUGCCUUCAUUGAUCUAACAAAUGCAUUCAGCCAUGUGGACAGAGACAGUCCAUUCAAGCUGCCGUUCAAAAUUGCUCAAUGUGAUCUCUACCAUGACAAUACAAUGGGUAAGAUCAACUACAUGACAGAACAACAUCAAUGCACAGUGCAGUCGGUGUUCUGGCACUGACAGUCCUUGGCGUAUUCAUUCCUCACUUUGCUCCUGGAAUAUGCCUUCAGGAUAUUCACAGAGAGCGUCUCUUUACAGCCUUGUUUGUCUGAGUUCCAAGACAAAGAUGCACCAAGCCAUCAUCAGAGAGUUACUCUACACUGACAAUGUUACUAUCUUUCCAUAUUGAGGAAUAUCUGCAGCAGCAAAUACUCAAAAUCUUUAAGAUAAUCCUCAAAAGGCCGGUGGGGAAUCAGUAAUUAAUCUCCUAGUGGAGCUCAUUGAGUACGAGUUCCCUCGGUAACAGGCAAUGGCUGACCCAGCCGAAAGUCAUCGCCUGAACCUCACUGUUUCAGUAAGUUUGUCGGCCUUUCUCAUUCUUGCAGAAUAAGCAGUUCCUCUCCCAUUUUAGCAUUUGUUUAAGGUAGUUGCUUAGCGUAAUGAAUAAGAUGUCUGACUUCAGUAUUAACCAAGGUAUUAGCAGAAGAUUACAGGUUCAGGUCAUGCUGCGACUGUUUGCAGAGAGCUCUUUUGCAAUGGUAGUAUCACUACCUUUAAGCCAGGAGGCCCAGGUUGAAGUCCCACCUGCUCCAGAGGCGUGUAAUGACAUCUCUGAACAGGUUGAUUAGAAAAAUAGGUUAAAUUUUAAAAAUUAAUAAAGCAGACCCUGGAAGGGGAGGCCACACGCUCUUCUCUGUUCACCAACAACCAGACAUUUUUGCAACUGAUGUUUCAACCACAUCACUCAAAGGAGCCACCGAAAAGAACCCCAGCCUUGCCUGACAGUCAUAUUUUUCCUUUAAAUUACUGGAAAUAUGUCAUUUUGCCCACAAAUUUGUUAACAGAACUCACUGCUGAAUAUUCAGAAAAAAUCUAGCUGUGUUGAACUCCAAACUAUUAUAAAAAAAACUUUAAGCUUUUAAAGAUGACAGACACAUCUGCAGUGAUUGACACAAUCCUGAAAUUCAAAAGCAUGCAUUGAAAGAGAACUUGUUGACAGUUUCUUCACUAAAUCAGCUUCUCCAUCAUCAAUUUCAAAUAAAUAAACACCUCACCGACUGAGGAGGGGCUGUUGUUGAGUGAAAAAAGAAAAAAAAUAAAGCAGCCCCCUCUUCCACAGUUACAUUCAUGCCUGAAUAUCAUUGGAGAAGGAGUAUGUGGUGUCCAUCAAUGCUCUUGAUGCCUUUAGAGAGAGGUGGGCACCAAGGGCAAUAAAGUGAUUUAUUUCCUCCUCCAAUUCCAUUUUAGAACAUAGAACAGUACAGCACAGUACAGGCUCUUUGGCCCAUGGUGUUGUACCGACCUACUCUAAGAUCAAACUACACUGCAUACCCUACAUUUUAUUAUCAGCCAGAUGCCUAUUCAAGAGUCGCUUAAAUGUCCCUAAUGUAUCUGACUCCACUAUCACUGCCAGCAGUACAUUCCACACACCCACCACUCACUGUGAAAAGAACCUACCUCUGACAUCUCCCCUAUACCUUCCUCCAAUCACCUUAAAAUUAUGCCCCCUUGUAAUAGUUAUUUCCACUCUGGGAAAAAAUCUCUGGCUAUCCACUCUAUCUAUGCCUCUCAUCAUCUUGUACACCUCUAUCAAGUCACCUCUCAUCCUUCAUCGCUCCAAUGAGAAAAGUCCUAGCUCCCUCAACCUUUCUUCAUAAGACCUACCCUCCAUUCCAGGCAGCAUCCUGGUAAAUCUCCUCUGCACCCUCUCUAACCAAAACUGAACACAAUAUUCCAAGUGUGGUCUAACCAGGGUUUUAUAGAGCUGCAGCAAAACCUCGCGUAACCUCUUAUACUCAAUUCCCCUGCCAAUGAAAGCCAACACACCAUACACCUUCUAAACCAGCCUAUCAACUUGGGUGGCAACUUUGAGGGAUCUAUGGAUGUGGACCCCGAGAUCCCCUUGUUCCUCCACACUGCCAAGAAUCCUGCUAUUAACGUUGUAUUCUGCAUUCAAAUUCAAUCUUCCAAAAUGAAUCACUUCACAUUUUUCUGGCUUGAAUUCCAUCUGCCACUCCUUUGCCCAGCUCUGCAUCCUGUCAAUGUCCCGUCGCAACCUACAACAGCCCUCCACACUAUCCACAACUCCACCAACCUUCAUGUCAUUUUGAUUUAGACCCUUACUGCUCUCCUCAGCCCCUCUCACCAUUGAUGGUUUGCAUUGCCCAUAAUGGGCUUUGCAUGUAAGUACUCAGUUAGCUACUGGUGUUUUUACUGGUGGUGGUUAUUAGUUUUAAAAAAAAAGCAAAAAAGUCACCGUGAUUUUGCUGAAGGGAAGGUCACUCAGUUGUACGUAACUGUCCUGGGUAGAAAAAAUAAAAACAGACAACGCAUGCAAGGGUUUUUGUGGUGUCGUGGUAGUACCCCUACCUUUGAGCAAGUCCCACCUGUUCCAGAGAUGUGUAAUAACAUCUCUGAACAUUUUGGUUAGAAAAGUAGGUUAAAAAUGGUAGCUCAGUUGGUAGAACCUCAGCUCUGGAAUUCGAGGAUCCAUUGUUUAUGCCUUCUUUGGUGGGCUCUUGAGAUACAGAGGUAGUAUCCCUACAUUUGAACCAGGAGGCUAGGAUUCAAGUCCCACCCAUUCCAGAGGUGUGUAAUAACAUCUUUGAACAGAUUGAUUAGAAAUAUUUAGACACGGGAAUAAAUACUAUAUUUCAAAAUAUGCAAAUAAUACAAAAAAAACUAAAUUGAGAAAAGCAGACCUACACCUUACCAACACCCAUCCCCCACUUUUUAUGGUUUGCACUGCUCAUUGUGGGAUUUGCAUGUAAACUUCUAAUUGGCUGAACGGGUGAUUACUGAUGGUGGUUAAUAGUUAAACAACAAAAAAGUCAGUGAUUUGAUGGUGGAAAAGCCGUUCAGUUGUGUUUGAUAAUACUUCUGGAUUUAAAAAGUAAAAAUAUAAAACAGACCCACACCCCCGUCCUCACUAUUGAUAGUUAGCCCAUUGUGAAAUGCAAACAAUGCAAAUAUCCAAUUGACUACACAGGUGAUUACUGAUUGUGGUUGAUUGUUUAAAACAAAGAAAAACUUGGUGAUUUGGGUGGUGGAAAAGCUGUUUGGUUAUGUGUGAUAUCUUUCCCAGAUAGUAAAAAGAAAAAGCAUACAUGGAGACAGGUCUGUAGAACGGUCUGUCCCAGGUUGGGAUUAGCCUAUGUAUGCCACAAGUAGUGGCUCUGUUUUGGUGUUCAACAAUGUUGUUCCUUUCCAAUUGGGUUUCUGAGUUAUUGCACUCUCUAGUGCCAGUAAAGAGUUUGAUUUGACUGUCAGCAUCAGGAAGGCACAUUUCACAGUUUGGAAUUUUCUCAAUUUCUCUUAGCAUGGUCAAUGUGACAUUGGAGGUUGUUGAUUGCUUCAAAUAUCAGUGCCCUGCAGUCAAUCUGUCACAUUGCGUACACUGCAAAAAUCUGAAACAUUAUCUAUGACUUCUCCAUGAUCCUGGCUGGCAUACUGAAUGUUCUUAAAUUGAGACAUUUUCAUUACUUCCAAAUUACCAAAAUCCAAAGAUUAAUAAUCAUCACUUGGGAGUGGGUUGAGGGGGUGGUGGUUGAUGUGGGUUGGCAGUGUGAUGCUUAAACACACAGGCACAGCUGCCAGUUGUGAGUUGAUGUUUAGUCACUGCCUGGAAACAUGAAGCAGUUUGGAGUCUCCUUUUAACAAACCUGUUCAACAUAAACUAUUCCCUAAUCAUAUAAACUCACUAAUUUAUCAUGAACAUAACGGAAUCAAUUAGGGAACAGGCUAUCAUAAAUCUAGUCAUGCACACUGAAAAAAGAAUAAUUCUCAAUCUCAUCAUAAAGACUUCACUAAGGAAGCGUAUUCAUAAAAUAAUAAUUUGAGACAAUUCAUUUCGUACCACGUGAUAUCACAAAAUGGUGGAGGGCACUGGAUACUGCAACAGCUAUGGGCUCUGACAACAUGGGCUGAAUGGAUCUCAAUGGGUCAAAUAACCUACUUCUACUCAAAUAUCUUAUGAUCUAACAUUCCAGUAAUAAUUCUGAAAACUUGUGCUCCAGAGCUCAUUGUACACUUAGCCUAGCUGUUAACGUGCAAUUAUAAAUUUGCACAUUCCAUUUUGGGCAAAAUGGCCCACUUAUAUCUUGUUUGCAACAAGCAAGACAAAUCUGAUUAGGCCAAUUACUAAUCCUCAGAAAAGUAAUGGAAGGAGUCAUCAACAGUAUUCAGAAGUAGCGUUUCCUCAGCAAUAACCUGCUCACUGAUGCUCAGUUUUGAUGGCGGUGGAGUGGGGUGCUCUAGAUGGAGCUCAUCAACUUCCUUUUUUCUCUUUGGUGUAAUUUUUUUUCCUUCCUCUCUUCUUCUCCCGGCCACAAACUUCUAGCCUCUGACUCUUUGGCUUGGACUCAGCACAUAACCAGCAGAUGACCUCGUAGCCUGGCGUGGCGGCCUCCUGGCUUGGUAUAGUGGCCCCCCCCCCGGCCCGGCAAGGUGAACUUUCGGCCCAGUGUAGAGGACUCUCAGCCUGGUGUAGCAGACUCUCGGCCGAGCAUGGCAGUCUUUCAGCUGUACAUGACUGUUUCAGUCUGGCAUGGCCUCAGGGUGGACUUCCAGUCUCGAGGUGAUCCCUCGAAGUGUGGUCCCACCAAAGCUAAGUCCUUAAUAAAGACUGUAAUGUUUCAAACUUCUGUCUUUAUUUAUUUUCUACUUCAAACUAAGAAGGUCUGCAAUUUGUAACUUUUAACCUUAUUUCGUAUGUUUUCUGCUUUACUAUAACUACUGCAAUGUUUAACUUCCAACUUUGUUCUUAAGAUUCUGUACCUGAGAUGGCACUGUGUGGGGCGACAUUAUACACUUUUCACUGUACUCCUGUACUUAUGUACUUGAAUACACACGACAAUCAAAUCAAAUCAAAUUUCACCAGGGCUACUCAGCUUCUUACGAUACAGCUUUGGUCUGAACAUGGUCAGAGGAACUGAAUUUCAGAGGCAAAGUGAGAGUGAUUGCCUUUGACAUCAAGGCAGCAUUUGAGUAGGUGUGGCAUCAGGGAAUCCUGACAAAAUUGGAGGGAAUUAGGGGAAAUAUCACAGCUGGCUGGAAUAAUACUUUGAACAAUAGAAAAUAGGUGUAAUUGUUUGAGGUAUGAUGAAAGGUGUGUGAUUCACAUUCAUAUAAUUUAUUUAUAGUUUGGGUUUCAAUCUAGUGGCAGAUGAGUAUUGGUUACAUUGUGAAGAUCUGUAAAAAAAAACUCAGAAUCCUUUCCAGAGCCUAAUCCAGUACAAGUCAGAACAGGUGAGCUGAAGCCUUCGCGAGUGUUAAUGCAAGACUUUUUGUUUAUACUGUGGAGAUUAUGACUGGGAAUAAAUAUUGGAAAGGAUUAACUUGCUUUUGGUUUAGGAUAACCAAGGAUUGAUGUGAGCUUAGAAAAACCAAGAUUGACAGGCUUACAGGAAAGAACUGAGGAGACACAGUUAAGUCAAGAUUUGAUACAACAGGAUCAUUUAUCUGGAUUGGAAAUACAGUAAUGUGAUGGUGUUGGAGAAUAGAUUUUGUUAUAAAAACCAAAAGAACUGCGGAUGCUGUAAAUCAGGAACAAAAACAAAGUUGCUGGAAAAGCUUAGCAGGUCUGGCAGCAUCUGUGAAGGAGAAAACAGAGUUAAUGUUUUGGGUCUGGUGACCCUUCCUCAAAACCCUUGAGCUGAGCUUUUCCAGCAACUUUGAGAUUUUGUUAUGUUGUGUGUUUAAGAUCUUUCAAAUUGCAUUCUAUAUGUAAACAGCUUGCUUUGAUUUUGCUUUUUUUUGGGUAAUAAAUGUCUAUUUUAUUGAAAA